CUACUUCCGGAGUAUAAAAGCUCAGAGAUUCACGAUGAAAAAGUAUCAGUUGUUCAAUCCAAUCAACCGAGUCCAACAUGAAACUGUUUGUUGUCGCUGCCCUCUUGGUCGUUGCUGCUUCCGCAGCUCCAUUUGACUACGCUUCUCCCGCAGCUCCAUUCGACUACGUUCCUCCUCUUACACCGCGCCCCUAAUCACCAUCACGCCCGAUGGCAGCAUCAGGUGGAAUUACACUGAAUCGAAUUAUACUGCCCUUGAAGAAUCCCAGAACCAGAAGUACCAGGCCACCAGUUCCGACUCUUACGGAAGUAACACCAACCGAGGAUCUUAUUUCUCGAUCUCUCCCGAAGGUGAGAAAAUCAUGCUGCCCUGGACUGCCGACAAAAAUGGAUUCCAGGCCAGCGGUUAACACUUGCCCGUUGCUCCCGUCCACGUCUACGAACUCCCAGUUGC